AAACCUUAAAUAAAAGACAGAGAUAGGUGAAGGGUGUUACUACAACUGCCGUUGGGUGAAUUACCAUAACCACCGCCGCUGCUAGGGUGAAUUACCAUAACCACUGCCACCGCUGGGUGAAUUACCAUAACCACUACCACCGCUAGGUGAAUAACCAUAACUAUUGCUGCCGCUGGGUGAAUAACCAUAACUGUUGCUGCCGUGGGGUGAAUAACCAUAACCACCGCCGCUGCUAGGUGAAUAACCAUAACUAAACCCAUGUGCUUGGUAUGAGUUACUUCUAGGAACAUACGCUUG
rnacentral:lncRNA from 1 species